rnacentral:lncRNA from 1 species
UCAACUCAUUCAAGCACCGGUCUUUCAUAACUAUCCUCAACAAAAUUGCUCUCAAAAUGUCUUCGUGCUUCAAAUUUUAUCUCCUCCACUUCUUCCUUUCUACCAUUUUCCCUGUUUAAAAUGAUAAUAAGUUCUUCCUACAUCUUUCCUUCAUAGCAUUAUGGAAGAAUUUAUAGUUACAAUUUCCAUCCUUUAGCAAAUCCACCUUAGAGUUUUGCCUUAAUAAACUCUCCUUGAGAGUCAAAU